rnacentral:rRNA from 1 species
UACAGAGGUCUCAACCGUUGUUCGGAUUCAUUGGGCGUAAAGGGUGCGUAGGCGGCGGGGUAAGUCAGGUGUGAAAUCUCGGGGCUCAACCCCGAAACUGCACUUGAUACUGCCUCGCUUGAGUACUGGAGAGGAGACUGGAAUUUACGGUGUAGCAGUGAAAUGCGUAGAUAUCGUAAGGAAGACCAGUGGCGAAGGCGGGUCUCUGGACAGUUCCUGACGCUGAGGCACGAAGGCCAGGGGAGCGAACGGG